rnacentral:lncRNA from 1 species
UUUUUUUUUUUUUUUUUUUUUUGCUUUUUAGGGCUGCGCCUGCGCAGCACAUGGAAAUCCCCAGGCUAGGGGUCAAAUUAGAGCUAUAGCGGCUGGCCUACACCACAGCCACAGCAACACCAGAUACAAGCUGCGUCUGUGACCUACAACACAGCACACAGCCACUUGGGAUCCCCGACCCACUAAAGCGGAGGCCAGGGAUCAAACCCGAAUCCUCAUGGAUACUAGCUGGGUUUGUUUCCACUGAGCCACGACAGGAACUCUCAGAACUGGCAUUUCUAAUCUCUUCACUUGACUCUGCCCCAGCCUCCAGGGACAAGGACGUCACUUUUUUCCUAUUUUGGUGUUGGGCUGUUCCAGAUGCUUAGGUCUUUAAAAUCUCCAGAAGAGCCUCUCAUUCUGUCUCCACAUUCCAGUGUCUCCCAGGCCCGGCCUGCAGCUCAGGCACCUAAGUUCUCCUAAGCAGGACCCUUGGAGGCUGCUUUCUGGCCCUGGGCCUCCCUGCCCAGCUGGGUGACAGGCCUGCAGCCCCAGCCACAAGACAGCAAGGCACAGGCAGCUGGGUGAUGGCUGGGCACCUGGGAGGAUCUUUGCCUGCAGAGCCAGGUCUGGUGUGGCGGCACGGCCCCUGUAAUUAGUGCUGUUUUGGAGCCAGCUGGAGCGUUCCUUCCCUCUGAACCCCCUUUCUCCUUUACAUUUGCACAGGGCUUCGGGACCCGCCAUUCUCCCUCCCACCCACAUUCCCAGGAGGCUCCUGAGCCCCAUAUGGUGAAGCUUGUCUCUUUUAUUUUUAUUUAUGUAUUUAUUUUGGGUCUCUCUUAUAUCCUUAUGUUGGUGGGUGUUUGUGGCACAGGCAGAAAUCCUGUCUGCUGGCAGGGAGGGGUCUCUGAGGGGCGCUGGACCCCCAGUGGCAGCUGUCUGCUGCCUCCCUGCCUGGGGCAGAACACCUGCCUGGACAAUUUCAUGCAGGCGUCUUUCACCAGAAUCCUUUAGCACACUUUAAGGGCUAAUGGACUUUUUGUCAUGUUCCCUGGAGAAUUUUUCAGCCCCUGGGGAAGGGUGCUUCAUUGGCUGGGUUGCCCAGGUGUGGCCACCGCAGUCCUGUAGCCCUGGAUUUCAAGGGUGCCUGUUAGCCUCCUAACUAUGGGCUUCCUGGGCUGGGGUGGGCUGGGGUGGGCUGGGUGGGCAGGAGUAGGGUUAUCCCCUCCCAGCAAGUCCUCAUCCUGACUCCUCAGACACGCAGACUUUAGUCAGAAUGUGGUUUACAUUCUCAUUAAACUGGGAGCUGCUUACUUUCCAAUGAAGUAAGCAUCCUGAUCAUUUCCAUAUUACCACCCUUAACAUUUGAUUAUAUUUCCCUCUGAUCUUUUUUCUUUUAAUGUGCAUAGGUUCUUAAAAAAAAUAGUUGUAAUCUGACCGAUUACAUACUUCUGUAUGCAGCUUUUUCAUGUAACACUGCAGAAUGAGCAUUUUUAAUGACAUGGUGUGGUUUUAAGACAUUUUCAAGGGCCCUACUGUUGCUUCCUUGUGCAGUCCCUAUUGUUGACACACACCUCCCCCCCUUGCCCCCUCCCCAGCUGGUCUUUAUUUUAAGCCUUAGAACUUUAUGGAGCGUGACAGUCAGGAGCCAUUGUUGGGGUUGUAUUGGUGUAAUAUUAAUCCAGAGUUGCCAGGGUGCUGGGAGGAGGGGCCUGGCUGUGGUUCAGGUCAGCGGCCAAUGGGACAGCGGCUCCCAGCAUGGCCUCAUCAGGCCUCAGCACCAUAGUCCUUGAAGUGGGGCAUUCAUUCGAGAGGCCCUUGGCUGUUUCAAGAAGCUUCUGUGGCUUAUGCAGGGGUGAGGGAAUGGGGCACAGGUUCACCUUGGCUCUCAAGGCCCAUCGGCGUACCAGCUGAGUUUCAUUUCCAGCCUUGGGCCUGGCAUGAUGGCCCAGGUGCCAGGAGCGUGCACCUGUGACCCAGCUCCGUCUCCUCCCUUGAGCUGUUGGGUUUUUGGACUCUUGCUCUAUCCCACAGACAGGGCCUUCGCCCAAAGGCCCCUGGUACACACCUGGAGUCCUCAGGGGUAGUUCACCCUUCCCCAGAGGGCCAGGGGACUGCAGGGGCCUUGGCUUAGCCACCCUAAAUGUCAGGACAGACACCAGCCUUUUCUCCCACACUCUCUCUCUCUUUUUUUUUUUUUUUUUUUUUUUUUUGCUGCGCCCAUGGCCUGGGGAAGUUCCCUGGCCAGGGACUGAACCUGCACUAUAGCAGGGACAACACUGGAUCCUUAACCACUAGGUCACGAGAGAACCCCCUCCCAGUAUUUCUUAAUUACACUUCUGGUGAUGAUAACGAUUAAUAAUAAUUAAUAAUAAUUAUAACGCUAAUAAGCAUUAUCCCUUGUUCUUGGAGACCCAAUGCCACUUUCAGUUCUGUUGAUUUACACCCUUUCCUCUUUCUUGUGGAAGGUAAGUUGAGGCAGCAAGAGAUUUAAGAGGAGUUCCCGUUGUGGCGCGGUGGCUAACAAAUCCGACUAGGAUCCAUGAGGAUGUGGGUUCGAUCCCUGGCCGCGUUCAAUGGGUUAAGGAUCUGGCGUUGCCAUGAGCUGUGGUGUAGGUCGCAGAUGCAGCUCAGAUCCCGAGUUGCUGGGGCUGUGGUGUAGGCCGGCGGCUACAGCUCCUAUUUGAACCCCUAGCCUGGGAACCUCCAUAUGCUGCGGGUGCUGCCCUAGGGGAAAAAAAAAAAAAAAAAAGAGAAAAAAAAAAAGAUUUAGGAGUUUUGAGCAGCAAUGUGAGGAAGGAGAAAGGAUUAGCCAGGCUUGGGUUCCAGUCCUGGCUCUGUGCUCUGUAAAUUCCAUUAUCACUUAUCCCCUGAGCCUCCGUUUCCUCGUCUAUACAAGGAAAGCAGUGAGGCCUGACUUGCAAAGUUGAUGGGUGGAGCAAAUCAGUGUUUCUGUAAAAUUCUCUGGCACAUAGUAGGUGCCCAGUCAGUAUUGUCUGGCUGAUGUUGUUCCGGGUCACCAAAUGCACCGACCUUCAAAGCCAGAGGGACUUGCCUGCCCAGUCCCUUCCCUGCUCACAUGUCCCUUCCACUAAGCGCUCACCUAGCCAGCUCCGGGCAGGAAGCUUCCCUGCUUGGCUGAUCAGAGGCGUCUGGCUGAUCAGAGCUGCAGUUGGUUGCAGCUCAUUCUGGAUGGGACAUCCUGCCAAGUCAGGCCAUGUUCUCCUACACUUUGCUAAUCCGAGUGAAAGUAACUAGGGCCCUUUCCUUCUGGCCUUUCCCCUGGACAUCGUCGAGAGGGCCACUGCACGGGAACGCAGGGUGCGGUGUCAUGAGUCAUUUGCUGGUGUGUCUUUGUGGCCACACUUGUCUGCAGGCUUUUGCUAGAACAGCCCCCACCCCCACCCCUGGGCCCCGUCGCCAAAAUAACCCAACAACAUCAAGCCAAAGAGAGAGUCAUCUGGGGACAGGCUCUUGUUCUGAGUCCUUGGGCCCCAGUCUGAGGUCACAGAGUAGGCUGUCUGCUUCCAGGAGGCAGUGGGCUCCAGCCUGGCGAAACAGAGCUGGCCUUUGAGACUUCCCGAGAAGAAUCUUAGAAACUUUCCAGCCAUCUGCCCAAUACCUUGAGUUUUGGGUACCAUUCCUCUUGAGGCCAUGAACCAAUAGCGUUGGUGUCAGCUGGGGGCUGGUUGAAAAUGUAGACUCUGAGACCUCAUAACAAAACUACUGAGUCAGAACUUACAUUUUAGGAGUUCCUGUUGUGGCUCAGAGGGUUAAGAACCCGACUAGUAUCCUGAGGAUGUGGGUUCUAUCCCUGGCCUCCCUCACUCAGUGGGUUAAGAUCUGGUGGCACCGAAAGCUUCAGCAUAGAUUGCAGAUGCGGCUCAAGAUCCUACAUUGCUGUGGCUGUGCUGGAGGCCGGCAGCUGCUGCUCCAAUUUGACUCCUGGCCUCGGAACCUCCCUAUGCUGCAAGUGCAACCCUAAAAAAAAAGAACUUACAUUUCAGCAAGACGGCUAAGAGUUUUGGGUGCUCGUUAAAGGUUGAGAAGCACAGAUUGGGGUUUAGAUCACGGUUCUCAACCACAGACACACAUUAGAAUCACCUUGAAAAACUGUAAAAACUGUGCUGGUUCCCUAGGUCCUAAUCCAGACCACUGAGUCAGAAUCACUGGGGAUAAGAUCUGAUCAUAUGGAAGUUCCCAGGCUAGGGGUUGACUCAGAGCUGCUGCUGCUGGCCUGUGCCACAGCCACCACCAUGUAGGAUCUAAGCUAUGUCUGCAACCUUCAUAGCAGCUCACAGCAACGCCAGAUCCUUAACCCGCUGAACGGGGCCAGGGAUCGAACCUGUGUCCUCUUGGAUGCUAGUUGGGUUUGUUACGGCUGAGGCAUAAUGGGAACUCCCAGACCCUUGGCUUUGGGCUGGAUGGCCCUGAAUGAGAUGAUCAGAUGGUAAUAGUUGCUGUGUAUUGAGCUCCUACUUACAUGAAAGGCUUUUAUCUAGAAUCUUCUUUCCAAACCUGAAAAGUGCCAGGCCUCUCACUGUCUUACAUGAGAAAACUGAGGCUCGGAGAGGUGAAGCUAGGCGCCUAAGGCUGUAUACGUAUUGGAACUGGAACUGUCUGCCUGGAAGCUUCUUUUGCCAUUACCUCAUAGUGACUGGAGAUUGUAAGGUUUGGAAGGUCCUGGUUCUCGUUGGAAAAUCUGGCAGGGGAUUCUUUUCUGGCUCGGUGUCCAUGGUACCUUCAGACUGUGUGGUUUUAGGACCGUUCAGUUGGAGGAGAAGGACAGCAGCUUUCCAUCUUCAGCUUCAUGUAUCUCUUAGACUGAGGGGCUGGGGUGUGUGUAUGGGGGUGAGGUCAGUGACAGACAAGUGGCACAUGAAUAAUGGAAAAGUCUUCAGGAGAAGGAGGAAUUUCCAAAGGUCACAGAGACUCCGACUCAGCUGUAUUCAUUUCAAGCUGGCUUUGCCCGAGUCGCUUUAUCCCUGUGGCCCCAGGCUCCCUUCUUCCCCUGGAAGAACUCGGGGGUGGGGGUGGGGGGAGCACUCUUGCUGCUCUUUCUGGUUCUGCAAAUCUGGGUUCUAAGAUCAAAGUGGGGAAACUAAGGCAUCAGCCAGAAUGAGCCAAACAUAGACCCCUGGAGCAGCUGGGCGGCAGCAUGGGGCCAGGUGUGGGUGAGUGGGAGGCACAAAAAGCCUGGCAGAGCGGAACAUCUGUGCCCGAACAGAAAGCACACAGAGCCCCGAGACCCAGAAAACCCGGCCAGGAGCACAGCGAACGGGAGAGACACCGAGAAACAGCCCUUUCUUUGCGUGUCUUGAACCACGUCCAAACCUAACUUUUAAGUUCGAAUAAGGAUUUGAAAAUCAGCCCGGGGCUCCCACGGACUCUAAAUCCAGGUUGCUGUGUGUGUGUCUUCCUUAUAAAGUCAUGGGCUGUCUGUGUUUGCGAAUGGAAUGAGUGAGGGGGAAUGUUUGGCUGCUCUCUUUCCUCACUUUUCCUUUCAAGACUCAUAGCACCCCACCCUUCACACGGGGCCUCUGGUGCAUUUCGGUUGGCCUCUGAGCCCCUGCAGUGUGGCUGGAAGGGUGUGCGGGGCAACCCCCAUUUAUAGUGGGGGAAACACAGGCUCACAGGUGCCAAGCGAGAGCGCUGGAGGCCCAAAGCCAGUUAGGGGCAGAACCUGGCCUUGAAUCUGGGUCUUUUCUUUUCAGCUGUGCCUGAGGCAUACAAAAAUUCGUGGGCCAGGGCUCAAACCUGUGCCACAACCAUGACAAUGCCGGGUCCUUAACCUGCUGGGCCACCAGGGAACUCUCCCCCCUGCUUUUAUUUUGUUCUUUUUGGGAAUCCAGGUCUUUUGAUUCUAAGCCCAGCCCUUCUUUCCUCCAAUGGGACUUCCCCAGGGAUCCCCUUUCUGGCCUUCUGGGGAACUGUCAGUAGCCUCUGAUAGAUGUAGCUCAUGAAGUACCAUCCAUUUCCAAUGAUCUGGAUUAUGUUCUAAAAUAUGCUUUUCGGACUUCCCGUCAUGGCGCAGUGGUUAACGAACCUGACUAGGAACCAUGAGGUCGCGGGUUCGAUCCUUGGCCUUGCUCAGUGGGUUGAGGAUCUGGCGUUGCCGUGAGCUGUGGUGUAGGUUGCAGACGCGGCUCAGAUCCUGUGUUGCUGUAGGCCGAUGGCUACAGCUCCGAUUAGACCCCUAGCCUGGGAACCUC